rnacentral:tRNA from 2 species
GCCACAAUAGCACAGUUGGUAGUGCAUCUGAUUCGUAAUCAGAAGGUCACCAGUUCGAGUCUGGUUUGUGGCCCGA